UCUCGUGCAAUACUCUGUACUUAAUCUUUAGAUUUUCGAAAGGAUUAGAGUUAUUCUAGCGAUAACUAUUCUGCAGAUUAAACCGAAAGUCGUGCAACCGGCCCUUAAGGAUUAAAGAAUAUCAACAUUAAUAUAAUGAAUGCCAAUCUCUCUACUGCCCUAGUUAAGAGGUUUUACAACUUCCAAAUUAUGUGGAAUGUAGCAAAAGCUUUAAGAAGCAACAAAGAUUUGUUUGUAGAAGAAUCGUUAAUAAUAGCACAGAGAAAGAAAUUUGUGAUAGUUAUUAACAAUCAACUAAGCAUGUCUGUUUCUAAGGCAUGGCAAUACAGCAUAUAUUAUAAUAUAUAAUUAUGAUGUCA
rnacentral:lncRNA from 1 species